rnacentral:tRNA from 1 species
GCCUGGGUGGCUCAGUUGGUUAAGCACCUGUCUUUGGCUUAGGUCGUGAUCCCAGGGUCUUGGGAUUGAGCCCCACCUCAGGCU